rnacentral:lncRNA from 1 species
UGGUCGUAGGGUCGGUGAAACACUUCAGAAGAUUACUACAUGGGGGUUGCUGAAGGGAAAGACACUCAAGGAUGAUGCUGUCUGGGACUGGAAGAUCUGCAACUGUUCACUGGGAAGGCCACUUGAGAUUUGACUGCUGCUGUCGGAGGUCGUAUGCUGUCAGAGAGACCCGCAUGCAGGCCGCGCCGGCGGCGAUAUAUUGCUACUUGUUUCUUGUUAUUGUCUUUUCGUGGUCUUUGCUCCAGUGCAGAGGAAAGCGUCGUCCUUCACAGUUCCUGAAGUAGGAUAGCCACCUGUGGUGCUUCGACACAUUUUUGUCUGGAGUUCUUUAUGGUCUGUUAUUUGUGAUGACAGGUUUUUGGGUUUUUGUCUCGC